GUACACGGUGUGACUAGCAUAUCAAUAAGCGGAGGAAAAGAAACUAACAAGGAUUCCCCUAGUAACGGCGAGUGAAGCGGGAAGAGCUCAAAUUUGAAAUCUUAAAGGGUUUCCCUUUACGAAUUGUAGUUUAAAGAAGUGUUUUCUGUUGAGGUUUUGGUAAAAGUUCUUUGGAAUAGGACAUCAUAGAGGGUGAGAAUCCCGUAUUUGACCUUUACUUUCAACUUUGUGAUACACUUUCAAAGAGUCGGAUUGUUUGGGAAUGCAGUCCAAAAUGGGUGGUAAAUUUCAUCUAAAGCUAAAUAUUGGCGAGAGACCGAUAGCGAACAAGUACCGUGAGGGAAAGAUGAAAAGAACUUUGAAAAGAGAGUUAAACAGUACGUGAAAUUGUCAAAAGGGAAGCGUUUGACACCAGUGUUGUUUUUCUGAAAAUCAAUUAAAGAACUGUUUAUGCUAAGCUUGUUUAGACUUUAUCAGCUAUCUGUUUAGUUUUGAGCUUUUCUUUAAUGCACUUUUCAGUUAACAAGUCAACAUCAAUUUCUUUUGCUGUAAAAAAGCUUGAGGAAGGUGGCUUGAGAUUCGUCUUAAGUGUUUAUAGCCUCUUGCCUAUGCAGUCGGAGAGAUUGAGGUCUGCAGCGUAGAUCCUUCGGGGCUAAAUGCAUUUGUGCUAAGUUAUAGCAUUUUAUAGACAACUUGUUGACUAUGAUUUGUCUUGUAGCUUACUCGCUUAUGUUAUUUUACCUACGCUUAGGAUGUUGAAGAUGUAGCACAUCAU
rnacentral:rRNA from 1 species